GACGAACGCUGGCGGCGUGCCUAAUACAUGCAAGUCGAACGCACUCUCGUUAGUUUUAAGAAGCUUGCUUCUGAUUGAUAACAUUUGAGUGAGUGGCGGACGGGUGAGUAACACGUGGGUAACCUGCGCUAAAGUGGGGGAUAACAGUUGGAAACAGAUGCUAAUACCGCGUGAAACCUAGCACCGCAUGGGGCAGGGUUGAAAGAUCGUUUCGGCUAUCACUUUAGGAUGGACCCGCGGUGCAUUAGUUAGUUGGUGAGGUAAAGGCUCACCAAGACCGGGAGGCAUAGACGAACUGAGAGGGUAAUCGGCCACACGGGGACUGGGACAGGGCCCAUGCGACUAAGAGAGGGAGCAGUCGGGAAUCUUCCGCAAUGGACGAAAGUAUUACGGAGUAAGGCGGCGUGAGUGAAGAAGGUUCUCGGAGCGUAAAACUCUGUUGUUGGAGAAGAACGUAUUUCGUAGUAAAUGAUCAGGGAGUGACGGUAACCAACCAGAAAGCAACGGCUAACUACGUG
rnacentral:rRNA from 1 species